ensembl:lncRNA
UGCUGCUAUGUAUUCAUGUUGAAGUCAAAGCAAAAGAAUAGGUGGAACUGAAAUAAAAGUCAGUAAUAUUUCAUGCACUGUACAAUAUAGAGCAAAGCAGCCAAUUCUUUACAAAGAUGUCAUCUUGUAUCAGUCCAUAUUGCAUUUGUUGUAAUAUUUCCUCUACGGUGUUCUCCUAUAGGCAUUCCUUUGAGCUCCGGGACAGCGGUGAGGAGACCGGUAUAACCCAGUCAAACCUGAUCAGAGUGGUGAGAGACGGGACAGGCAGCACGAAUGAUGACAGCCAUGUCCAGGCUUAAACCUGGGGUCGGGUUUGGGCUCAUAUAGUCGGGUAGAAAAAGGGUUGAGAUUCACUAAGGAAACCAAGAAGUUUAAGGGAUCAAUGGGACAAAGAGAGGGAACAAUGCAUAGACCCUUUAUAGUAAACACCUGGUUUCCAAAUGCAUUGCAUUGCCCCAGAUAUCAUUCAUUGAUUAUGGAGCAGCCAGUAAAGGUAUAUUUGCGUUGCAGGACAACGCUCCAUUGUAUUUGGAGGUCCGCAAUCCUGGAAUAUAUUUAACUCUUGCAUGUUUUUUGCCGUACGAAGUGCUACUGAAAGGAGGAGGCUGGUAACUUGGUCAAGGAACAGGCAUAAGGUCAUACACAGGGAAUCUAAAAAAGUCAGGCAAAAGUAAAGGAGAUUCAAGCUAGAGUCAUCAUCAGAAAACAGGCUAAGUAUCAAAACUAGAGGAAAAGGCAACGGUACAGGUAAGGAACCAAGCUAGGAAUUAGAGUCAAAGGCAAACAGGCAGGAACAGGUCGGUACACUAAAGUUCAAAUAAAGUACUUAAAAAGGCUUAGUAUAGUUGUGUCAGAACAAACAAUACAUCAGAGAGAAAAUAAGAACAAGGACCAAACUAAAUAGGCAAGAGAUGAUGAGAACUGGUGGUGCAGAAAACAGGUGAACCGAAUGAAGGUGAUGAGGGGUGUGGUUAAACAAAAGAACUGAGCAUAGACAUAUAAAACUAGAUCUUGACAAAGAACUAUGAAAACUACAAAAAAUGUAUAAAUAACAGACACUAAACAGACUAAUUAAUAGGCUAUCUUUGUUGAUGAUGAUGACUGUAUUUGGUCGUGGUCCGCCGCUCAGAUAAACUGCUACAUUAUAUUUCAUUUCGGGGCAACGGAUUUAACAUAAAGCUCCAGAAAAAAUUGAGUGAGGAACAGAAGCGUUCAAUUUGCAGUGGUCUCUUAUUUUUAACACUUCUGUUCUUCACUCAAAACGUUCCUUUUCAACUUUUUUGGAAAGGAAAGAAAAAAGUGCAGUGGUCUCUUAAUUUUUUCCGGAGCUGUAGUUAGCUAGCUUUAUUUCAACAGAACAAGUGCUUAGUAGUUACUUAUAUUACUAAAUAAAUAACUAUUUAAAAAAUAUAUUGGUUUCUUAUACUUCCUUUGCUUCCAAAAUGUGUACUCAUUCCUGACUGAUGUUUUCAAUGACAGGUAAAGCUGGAGGAUGCCCUGGCUGCAAGAGAGAACCCAAUGAUCAAUGACAUCAGAAAAGACGAGAGAGGUGCCUCGCAGAUCGUCAAUGGAACCCCUGUGAUGACAGUUGGAUCUCCUUCUCCUACCACCACUGUCAACAACGGGGAUGCCCUGGAAGCCCCCAUUGUAAAAAGCCUUGAAUCUGCUGAGGUCCCCAUCCUUGGACCUGUGGAAGCCUCCACCUUGGAUUUCUCUAAUAUGAGUAGCCUUAAACCUGUGGAACCAACGGAUGUUUCCAUCGUGAGCCGUGUCCCAGAUGCUCCAGAUGGCUUUGGCAACCGGAAGCUCCCCGUCAUAAACAGUCUGGAGGCUGUGGACGGGCCCAACGUUGCACCUGCAUGUAUUCCUCACUGUAAUGACCUUGACACCCAAGGUGCCGCCAUCAUGAAUAUUCCUGGUAGCCUUGCACCAGUGGAUGAACUUAUAGGGGACUCAACCAUUGUAACGUACCCUGAACCUGUGGAUUUCUCCAUUGUAAACCAACUUCCACCAGUGGACACCCCUGUUGUGGACAGCUUGGCACCAGUGGAUGCUCCCAUCAUGAACCGACUUAAAAAAGACAAUGCCACUAUCAGUGACCAACUCAAUGUCCCCACUGUGAAUGAUAUUGACCAACUCAAUGUCCCCAUUUUGAAUGAUAUCGACCUGCUCAAUGUCCCCACCAUGAAUGAGACAGACCUGUUCAAUGUCCCCAUCCUGUAUGACAGUGAUCCCCUUGGCUUUGCCAUCAUGAAGGACCUGGACCUCUUGGACGCCCCUGUGGAGUUCAGCUCCAACUUCGUAGCUCAGCUUGCGGAGAAUGGUUGUGUGGCGGGCGAAGACCAGGGGCCAUCCUUGAGGCUCCAUCCCCAGCACACCUAUGAGCUCAUAGGGGAGCUCAUUCCAGAUGUAGCCUCUGUGGAAGUGGACCCGACGACCCCAAGCGAUCAAACAAAACCUGAAGUCAUCGAUGAAUCCACCACACAGCCUGAUGUUGACGCAUCCACGGUCACAGAGCCAGUGGACCUGGCCCUCCGCUACUACGAAAACACAGCUGAACUGGUCCAACAAUCGGUGGCAACCAAUAAUGAGCCAAUGACAACCGGGCCAGGGGACGGGACUGACCUUACAAGGAAGGAGGAAGUUAAGAAGAGUUUGAGUGACAUGGGGUGGAAUCCGAUGUAUGCUAAGGUGAGCAGGAACUGUCCCACUCCACCCCCGGUCCCUCCUCCGGAGGAUGAGGAAUAGAUGCACCUCUACCUCGCUUAUAAGAGAGAAAUGGAAAGAUGGAGGGAGGAUAACUAGCAUAUCUCAUAAGACUUUUAAAAAGCCCUGUAUUUUAGCAUGUCCUCAAUACUAUUUACAUAUGUAAGCAACUGUGCUUUCUUGCUUUCUUUCAUUAUUAAAUAAAAUUGCAUGUUAUAAUGGCAAUAUUAAUUGACCUGUCCACGUCUAAUAGUCUUGUGAGAGG